UGCCGCGCCGUGCCGGGUAGCAGUAAUGCCCCGAAACUAUACUUUGGGAAGUUUGACAGCACGUAGCGCGGUUUU
rnacentral:ncRNA from 1 species